rnacentral:rRNA from 1 species
ACAUCCAGAGAACUUGGCAGAGAUGCCUUGGUGCCUUCGGGACCUCUGAGACAGGUGCUGCAUGGCUGUCGUCAGCUCGUGUUGUGAAAUGUCGGGUUAAGUCCCGNAACGAGCGCAACCCCUAUCCUUUGUUGCCAGCGAUUCGGUCGGGAACUCAAAGGAGACUGCCGGUGAUAAACCGGAGGAAGGUGGGGAUGACGUCAAGUCAUCAUGGCCCUUACGAGUAGGGCUACACACGUGCUACAAUGGCGCAUACAAAGAGAAGCGACCUCGCGAGAGCAAGCGGACCUCAUAAAGUGCGUCGUAGUCCGGAUCGGAGUCUGCAACUCGACUCCGUGAAGUCGGAAUCGCUAGUAAUCGUAGAUCAGAAUGCUACGGUGAAUACGUUCCCGGGCCUUGUACACACCGCCCGUCACACCAUGGGAGUGGGUUGCAAAAGAAGUAGAUAGCUUAACCUUCGGGAGGGCGUUUACCACUUUGUGAUUCAUGACUGGGGUGAAGUCGUAACAAGGUAAGCGUAGCGAG